GAUGAACGCUGACAGAAUGCUUAACACAUGCAAGUCGACUUGAACGUUGGUUAGGGUGGCGGACGGGCGAGUAACGCGUAAAGAACUUGCCUCACAGGUAGGGACAACAUUAGGAAACGAAUGCUAAUACCUGAUAGUAUGAUUUUAGGGCAUCUUAGAUUUAUGACAGCGAUCGGCGCUGUGAGACGGCUUUGCGUCCAAUUAGCUAGUUGGAGAGGUAACGGCACACAAAGGCGAUGAUGGGUAGCCGGCCUGGGAGUGUGACCGGCCACAAGGGGCCGGGGACACGGCCAUUAGGCAAACGGGAGGAAGCGGUGGAAAAUAGUGGAAGAAGGACCAAGAGUGUGAUGCAGGUAUUCUGUGUGCAAGAUGAAGUUUUUCGGGAUGUACAGUGCUGUAAGUUGGGAAGCAAAACAUGACGGUACCAACAGAAGAAGUGACGGCUAAAUACGUG
rnacentral:rRNA from 1 species